UACGUAGGGGGCAAGCGUUGUCCGGAAUCAUUGGGCGUAAAGCGCGUGUAGGCGGCCCGAUAAGUCCGCUGUGAAAGUCCAGGGCUCAACCCUGGGAUGCCGGUGGAUACUGUCGGGCUCGAGUCCGGAAGAGGCGAGUGGAAUUCCAGGUGUAGCGGUGAAAUGCGUAGAUAUCUGGAGGAACACCGGUGGCGAAGGCGGCAUCCUGGACCGAUAUUGACGCUGAUGCGCGAAAGCCAGGGGAGCAAACGGG
rnacentral:rRNA from 1 species